rnacentral:rRNA from 1 species
AUUGAACGCUGGCGGCAUGCCUUACACAUGCAAGUCGAACGGCAGCACGGGAGCUUGCUCCUGGUGGCGAGUGGCGAACGGGUGAGUAAUACAUCGGAACGUACCCUGAAGUGGGGGAUAACGUAGCGAAAGUUACGCUAAUACCGCAUAUUCUGUGAGCAGGAAAGAGGGGGAUCGCAAGACCUCUUGCUUUAGGAGCGGCCGAUGUCGGAUUAGCUAGUUGGUGAGGUAAAGGCUCACCAAGGCGACGAUCCGUAGCGGGUCUGAGAGGAUGAUCCGCCACACUGGGACUGAGACACGGCCCAGACUCCUACGGGAGGCAGCAGUGGGGAAUUUUGGACAAUGGGCGCAAGCCUGAUCCAGCCAUGCCGCGUGAGUGAAGAAGGCCUUCGGGUUGGUU